UCCGAGUUGACCCCGGCAGUCUCCUAUGAGUCCCCGCCAUUACGCGCUGGCAACAUAGGACGAGGGUUGCGCUCGUUGCGGGACUUAACCCAACAUCUCACGACACGAGCUGACGACAGCCAUGCACCACCUGUGAUGGUGUCCCGAAGGAAAACCGUGUUUCCACGGCGGUCACCAACAUGUCAAACGCUGGUAAGGUUCUGCGCGUUGCUUCGAAUUAAGCCACAUGCUCCGCCGCUUGUGCGGGUCCCCGUCAAUUCCUUUGAGUUUUAGCCUUGCGGCCGUACUCCCCAGGCGGGGUGCUUAAUGCGUUUGCGACGGCACGGAAGGGGUUGAUGCCUCCCACACCUAGCACCCAACGUUUACGGCUGGGACUAC
rnacentral:misc_RNA from 1 species